rnacentral:tRNA from 1 species
GGGCAUUUAGCUCAGCUGGAUAGAGCGUUGGCCUCCGAAGCCAAAGGCCGCAGGUUCGAAUCCUGCAAUGCCCA